rnacentral:lncRNA from 1 species
UUUUCAGUUUCCAAAAUAUUUCAGAGGCGGAUACCUUUCAAAAAAAGGUGGAGCUUUAGCCAUGGAAUGACAUGAAAAUGAAUAUGGUGUACCAUAGCUAAGCUCCGUCUUCUUUCCUUUGGAUUCUAGUUGAGUUGCAUAUUUAAUUAGCAAAUUAUGGUACAACAUUAAUUUGCAUAUAAUAUACCAUGGUUUUCCCUCACCACACUUUUUAAGCAAAUUAUUUCAUUAAAACAUCAAAGGAAAAGAUCCAAUUUAUGUUACAAGUAUUUUUAGUGGCAAUUUUUUUAUGGAUGAAAUAAAAAAAAGACUAUUGCUAUGGAGGCCAGCCCAGAUAACUCUUUUUUGUCAUAGACUAUUAUUUUUUCUAUUUUUUCAAUGUGGUAAAAAAUAUGAAAACGGAGGUCCUACUUUAAUAACAUAUAUAUAGCUAUCGUCUCUAAUUCAUUUAUACAGUUCUCUUCUUUUUUACAUAAUAUACUUUCAAAGGUAUGAUGGUCUCGUAGUAGUUAAUUCCAGCACAAAAGGUCAUUGGUUAUAUCCCCAUACAGCCGAGUAACACAACAAAUGGCAAGG